rnacentral:rRNA from 1 species
CUACGGGAGGCAGCAGUGGGGAAUCUUAGACAAUGGGGGAAACCCUGAUCUAGCCAUGCCGCGUGGACGAUGAAGGCCUUAGGGUUGUAAAGUCCUUUCAGCUGGGAAGAUAAUGACGGUACCAGCAGAAGAAGCCCCGGCUAACUCCGUGCCAGCAGCCGCGGUAAUACGGAGGGGGCUAGCGUUGUUCGGAAUUACUGGGCGUAGAGCGCACGUAGGCGGACUGGAAAGUUGGGGGUGAAAUCCCAGGGCUCAACCCUGGAACUGCCUUCAAAACUAUCAGUUUGGAGUUCGAGAGAGGUGAGUGGAAUUCCGAGUGUAGAGGUGAAAUUCGUAGAUAUUCGGAGGAACACCAGUGGCGAAGGCGGCUCACUGGCUCGAUACUGACGCUGAGGUGCGAAAGCGUGGGGAGCAAACAGGAUUAGAAACCCUAGUAGUCC